rnacentral:rRNA from 1 species
GACGAACGCUGGCGGCGUGCUUAACACAUGCAAGUCGAACGAAGUGGCGAACGGGUGAGUACGCGUAAUCCACCUGCCUUUCAGAGGGGGACAACAGAUGGAAACGACUGCUAAUACCGCAUACUGAAGGAGGGGAUUGCGUCUGAUUGGCUAGUUGGAGGGGUAACGGCCCACCAAGGCGAUGAUCAGUAGCCGGGCUGGCAGGAUGGACGAGCACAUUGGGACUGGUGUACUGCCCACACUGCUUCGGGGGGCAGCAAUGGGGAAUCUGCCGCAAAUGGCGAAAAGCUGGCGGCAGAACGCCGGGGGGUUUAUGACGGCCUUCUGGUUUGUAAGCUCUGUUAAUCGGGGAGCGGUACCGGAAUAGAAAGCCACGGCUAACUACGUGCCAGCAGCCGCGGUAAUUC